UACGUAGGGCGCAAGCGUUGUCCGGAAUUAUUGGGCGUAAAGCGCGUGUAGGCGGUUCCGUAAGUCCGCUCUGAAAGCCCAGGGCUCAACCCUGGGAGGCGGGUGGAUACUACGGAACUGGAGUACGGAAGAGGAGAUUGGAAUUCCUGGUGUAGCGGUGAAAUGCGCAGAUAUCAGGAGGAACACCAACAGCGAAGGCAGAUCUCUGGGACGUUACUGACGCUGAGACGCGAAAGCGUGGGGAGCAAACAGG
rnacentral:rRNA from 1 species